GAUACCGUGGCCUAAUGGUUAGCGCGUUGAAUUCCGGAUCGAGUGGUCCGGGUUCGAGCCCUGGCCUGGGUCAUUG
rnacentral:tRNA from 1 species